CCUCCCGAGAGCCUUAGAAACCAAAGGCUGGAUCUAACCCUAAUCACCAACAGUCCAGAACAUUUCCCCUUUCCUGCCGUUCCCUAGCUCUCUCAUGCUUUCCUCCUUAUCUCACUCUUACACCAUAUACAGCAACUCCUUAGCUCACUGUCCAGGGGAAUACACUGUUUUACCAUUGGAACUGAAGGACAUUUAGUUCUCCUGAUUCAAAUAGUAUCCCGACUGCUUUAUUCUAAGUUUUCAAUUCAUUGCUGCCAGUUGUGCAGAAGAAGUGUGCAGGGCUACACACACCAACACAGCACAAGGAGAUCGCAAUGAACAGCAACAUAGCAGAGAAGGAGAGUUCUCCAGAUGACAUCAGUCUCCCGGAGGAGGAGGUGCGGACACUAUUUGUUAGUGGAUUGCCUUUAGAUAUCAAACCUCGGGAGCUUUACUUAUUAUUCAGACCAUUUAAGGGUUAUGAAGGAUCUUUAAUAAAGCUCACAUCAAAGCAGCCUGUUGGUUUUGUGAGUUUUGAUAGCAGAUCAGAAGCAGAAGCUGCCAAGAAUGCAUUAAAUGGUAUACGUUUCGAUCCAGAAAUUCCUCAGACGUUACGGCUGGAGUUUGCAAAAGCAAACACAAAGAUGGCCAAAAGCAAACUUGUUGGAACCCCAAAUCCCAGCACACCUCAGCUGAACAAUGUACCUCAGUUUAUCUCCAGGGAUCAAUGUGCGCUGGUUCCCUCCCUCAGACGCUACUUCACAGGGCUGGAAGUCCCGCCAGUUCUGCUGAGUAAUGUGUACCAGGUGUGUGAUGGUGGCUACAGUCUGUCUUGUGGGUAUUAGUGUGUUCUUCCUUGUUGGCCACUGGAGUCUCAGGCUAUUCAUCAAAACAACAGUGCGCUGGCUACCGACAUCACAUCGUCAUUACAUCAUAAUUCCUUCAAGACUGUGAAAAAGCCUCCAUCACACAUCUGCCUUGCCAGACAUGAUAAAUGCAAGUGAAUAUACCCUACCCCUCGUACACUGUAAAGAACUGCAAGUGCCUUAUAUGAAAGCUUGGCUUGCCAUGCAUGAUGGUCUAGUAAAUGCUUUCAGUCCUGAAUGAACCAGCCGGGGCAUAUAAUCCACAGUAUCCGUCCCAAGAAAUUUUACACUGUGUUCAGAGGCACUAGUUUGACCUAUUUUAAUGCUUGUAAUAAAGAAAAAAAGAUCUAUUUUUUGAAAAUUUAAGCUGCAUGUUUGGAGAUCUUUAGUUUUUUUUAUGUUAAACAAAAACUGUAUUUUAAGAUAUAGAGAUUGUGUCCAUACUAUUUUUUGUUAACGUGAGCUGUAUAUAUUAAUACACUAGGUCAGCUUUUCCAGUAUUAUCAAGUCUUACGCCAAUUGAAAACUAGAGUGAUCUGUUAAUAAGAACAAUGUCUACUACUUAAUAUUUUAAAUAGAAGAACCAGUUUAUUUAAUGAUUCUUUGUAAAGGGAAUUUAUUGUGUGUUCAUUCAUAUUGUAUUACAGUACCAUGGUGUGCAGUGCAGUUAAACAGCUUUCCAUUUCUACCACCUUUCUCCUGGUGCUGAAGCCGAAUGUUGGUUGCACACUGCAAGGGAUGCUUCAUACUUAUUAAGAAGAUAUAAUCCACGUAAACACAUCCAGCCCUUGAUCUGUAUACGCUUUGGUCAAUUCAAAGUGUAUAUCAGCCACAUGGGCGUUUUCUCAUUUGGAAUAGCUCAAUUUGUUUUCAUAUAUAGGCUCAAUCCAUUCUAAAUAUUGGUGUACCACUUAAAUGACUACAUGCUAAAAAUGUAUUUGUCAGUCCUAUAGUCCCAUAAAUCCAUCCUCUUGCUGUCGGUGACAUACAUCCAUGCCUAGUUAUUAUUCACUAUUCAAAUCAUUGCUUUGAUGGAUGGAGGCAGUAUAGUUACCUAUAGAACUACGAAUAUCUGUUAUGCAUUUUGUUGAUCAAGAAAUCUUUUAGACCUUUCAAUACAUAGAUUAGCAAAGAUAAAAUAUGUUUAUAAUCAUAUUAUCAUUUUAAUUAGAUGUUUCCAAAUGACCAUUAGUAUAGUUUAAUUCUGGUAUUUGACUAGAAUACUGAUCAAAGAAUAGAAUGACAUGCUGAACGUGAAAACUUUUUGACUGCACAAUUGGGUUUCCUGAUGGUUUCUCUUUAAACAGAUGGCUUUACUGUACAACGUUUAACCAUGUUUAGGUAUAAGGGAAAAUUAAUGAUAACUGUACUCCUAAAGAUACAAUGUAAUAUAAAUUUUGUGUCAAAACACCCAAUGAUAAAUGUUUAUACUUUUAUACUUAGAGAAAAAAAAAUCUGUUCUCCAGUUAAAUUAUUAGCCAUGUUUUACAAACUGCAAUUCCAGCAACAACUGACAGAAAUCUUGCUUGCCCUACGAUUUUGUCCCGUUCUUCAACAACACGUGUUACGUUAUCACACUAUGGGGGAUAUCCUGUUAUUAUCGGUACUUUACCACUGCUAAUAGGAUCACCGUGGGUGAUCCUAUUAGCCCAGAUGCCAGCGUAUUUUUCCCGAUACCGGCACUUAUUGGGAAUUAUGCGACAAAACAUAAUCCCCAAUAAGGCACCGGAGCAGCGAUAACGAGAUGCAGUUAAUAUCCUGUCGGUCACAAUACCGUCGCCGGAAUCCCAACACACAGCGGAAGUCCGAUGCCAGAAUCCCAAAAGGGGACAGGACAACCCCCGGUGAUUUAGGGUUAGGAUGUGAGGGGGGGUUUAGGAU